AUAGACAGACAGGUGUAGUGUCCAGGUGUAUAUAGACAGACAGGUGUAGUGUCCAGGCCCUGUAUAUAGACAGACAGGUGUAGUGUCCAGGUGUAUAUAGACAGACAGGUGUAGUGUCCAGGUGUAUAUAGACAGACAGGUGUAGUGUCCAGGCCCUGUAUAUAGACAGACAGGUGUAGUGUCCAGGCCCUGUAUAUAGACAGACAGGUGUAGUGUCCAGGCCCUGUAUAUAGACAGACAGGUGUAGUGUCCAGGCCCUGUAUAUAGACAGACAGGUGUAGUGUCCAGGCCCUGUAUAUAGACAGACAGGUGUAGUGUCCAGGCCCUGUAUAUAGACAGACAGGUGUAGUGUCCAGGCCCUGUAUAUAGACAGACAGGUGUAGUGUCCAGGCCCUGUAUAUAGACAGACAGGUGUAGUGUCCAGGCCCUGUAUAUAGACAGACAGGUGUAGUGUCCAGGCCCUGUAUAUAGACAGACAGGUGUAGUGUCCAGGCCCUGUAUAUAGACAGACAGGUGUAGUGUCCAGGCCCUGUAUAUAGACAGACAGGUGUAGUGUCCAGGCCCUGUAUAUAGACAGACAGGUGUAGUGUCCAGGUGUAUAUAGACAGACAGGUGUAGUGUCCAGGCCCUGUAUAUAGACAGACAGGUGUAGUGUCCAGGUGUAUAUAGACAGACAGGUGUAGUGUCCAGGUGUAUAUAGACAGACAGGUGUAGUGUCCAGGUGUAUAUAGACAGACAGGUGUAGUGUCCAGGUGUAUAUAGACAGACAGGUGUAGUGUCCAGGUGUAUAUAGACAGACAGGUGUAGUGUCCAGGUGUAUAUAGACAGACAGGUGUAGUGUCCAGGUGUAUAUAGACAGACAGGUGUAGUGUCCAGGUGUAUAUAGACAGACAGGUGUAGUGUCCAGGUGUAUAUAGACAGACAGGUGUAGUGUCCAGGUGUAUAUAGACAGACAGGUGUAGUGUCCAGGUGUAUAUAGACAGACAGGUGUAGUGUCCAGGUGUAUAUAGACAGACAGGUGUAGUGUCCAGGUGUAUAUAGACAGACAGGUGUAGUGUCCAGGUGUAUAUAGACAGACAGGUGUAGUGUCCAGGUGUAUAUAGACAGACAGGUGUAGUGUCCAGGUGUAUAUAGACAGACAGGUGUAGUGUCCAGGUGUAUAUAGACAGACAGGUGUAGUGUCCAGGUGUAUAUAGACAGACAGGUGUAGUGUCCAGGUGUAUAUAGACAGACAGGUGUAGUGUCCAGGUGUAUAUAGACAGACAGGUGUAGUGUCCAGGUGUAUAUAGACAGACAGGUGUAGUGUCCAGGUGUAUAUAGACAGACAGGUGUAGUGUCCAGGUGUAUAUAGACAGACAGGUGUAGUGUCCAGGUGUAUAUAGACAGACAGGUGUAGUGUCCAGGUGUAUAUAGACAGACAGGUGUAGUGUCCAGGUGUAUAUAGACAGACAGGUGUAGUGUCCAGGUGUAUAUACAGCUA